UCUACCACUCACAACCAGGAAUAUUCCCCAAGGAUAAACCUUCCAGCAUCAUGGCAGCAUGCUGAAUGUUCGCACCAUUUAUUGUAUGAGCCUAUGAUCAUCCAUGUACUCUAACAGUUCUUUUAUGAUACAAAUGUGAACAGACCAAGGAAGCGGGGACCCAGCAACCCAAACACUCCCACCAACACCUCAAACGGCAGCUACACCAACAAAACCAACGGUACAAAGCGGAUUGACCACUUUACAACUAAUAUUUCAGACUUCGCUACCCAGGCAACCGGAUGCAACAUCCACAAAGAUAGUAACCUCUCCGACAAGUACAUCAACAACUGCAACAGCCAUGACCGUGCACCAGCAAAUCAUGACUGAACAAGGAAGCGGGGACACAAUAACCCAAACACUCCCACCAACACCUCAAACGGCAGCAACAACAACUAAACCCACAGUAAAAACCGGAUUGACCACUUUACAAGUAAUAUUUCAGACUUCACUACCCAGGCAACCGGAUGCAACAUCCACAAAGAUAGUAAAAUCUCCGACAAGUACAUCAACAACUGCAACAGCCAUAACCGUGCACCAGCAAAUCAUGACUGGAAACACAUUGGCAAUAGGAGUAGGAGUUGGUGUUGGUGGAGUACUGCUGGUGUUGGUCAUUGUCAUCAUUCUGAUUGUCCUUAUCAGAGGAAGGACCGGAGGUGGACAUGAAUCCGAAGUGGCAGGUGGGAAGAGCACAUCAAUAAGCAUCAGAAGUAAAUUCUCCUCCCUCCAAGCUAGAGACAACUACGACCUGGUGGUUCUGUCGAAUUAUU